rnacentral:lncRNA from 1 species
AUGGAUUCAGACACCCCGCAAGCCUUCCAGAAUGAGCUCAUGUGCUCUAUUUGCAUGAACUACUUCAUAGACCCGGUCACCAUUGACUGGACACAGCUUUUGCUGGCCCUGCCUCCGCCUCUGCUGGGAAGAAGGCAGAGCACCAAUGCACUGCCCUGAGUGCAGAGAAAUCUCAGAGAAGCCCGACUUCAACACCAAUGUGGCACUCAAAAAGCUGGCUUUCCUAGCCAGACAGACCAGACCUCAGAAUAUCAACAGCUCAGACAAUAUCUGUGUGCUCCACGAGGAGACUAAGGAGCUCUUCUGUGAGGCUGAUAAGAGAUUGCUCUGUGGGCCCUGCUCUAAGUCACCAGAGCACAUGGCUCACAGCCACAGCCCAAUAGGAUGGGCUGCUCAGGAAUGCAGGUUUGCAGGAGAAACUUAUAAAGGAAAUGGACUAUUUAUGGAAAAUCAAUCAAGAGACACAAAACAAUCUAAAUCAGGAAACUAGCAAAUUUCAUUCAUUAGGAAGAUGAAAGAAAUAGAAUAGUAUAUAAUAUCAAAAGAUGCGUCUAUUUUUCGAUAAGUAGGAGCAACUGCAUCUGCAGGAACUGGAAAGAGAAGCAAAAGAGCUUUUCCAACAACUACAAGACAGUCAAGUGAGAAUGACCCAACAUUUAGAAAGGAUGAAAGACAUGUACAGAGAGCUGUGGGAGACGUGCCACAUGCCUGACGUGGAGCUGCUUUUGCAGGAUGUGGGAAAUGUAUCAAGGAGUGAUUUGGCACAGAUGCAAAAGCCCCAGCCAGUGAACCCAGAGCUCAUUUCAUGGUGCAUAACUGGAGUCCUAGACAUGCUCAACAACUUCAGUGGAUAACGCUCUGAGCACGGAAAUGACUUCUUGCUAUAUGAGCCUUUCUGAGGAUGUGAGACAUGUGAUAUUUGUAGAUGACCGUCGCAGUGCACCCAUGGAUCCCCACGGAGUGGAGAGCUUUGCUGUGUGGGGAGCGCAAGCAUUCACCUCCUGCAGGCAUUACUGGGAAGUGGAUGUGACCCACUCCUCCAACUGGAUUCUGGGAGUCUGUUCAGAUUCCAGGACAGCAGAUACCAAUAUCGCUAUUGAUUCUGAUGAAACACUUUUUUAAAUUUCCUCAAAGAGGAGCAAUCACUAUAGUCUCUCCACCAACUCUCCACCUUUAAUUCAGUAUGUACAAAGGCCUCUGGGUCGGGUUGGGGUGUCUCUGGAUUAUGAUAAUGGAUCUGUGAGUUUUUUUGAUAUUUCUAAAGGUUCUCCUAUCUAUGGUUUUCCUCCUUCCUCCUUCUCUUCCCCUCUGAGGCCUUUCUUUUGCUUUGGUUGUA